GGUCUCGUAGCUCAUUUGUCAAGAGCGUUGGCUGUUCUAAGGCCAUCCCCUUACUGGCGUGGGUUCGAAUCCCACAGAGGCCG
rnacentral:tRNA from 1 species